UUGAGUUAAGCAUUUUAUGAGACCAUGUGGGUACAGUUUGAAUCUACUAAAGAAGGAAAUUGAGCAUUAAGCAUAGCACCUUGCUCUUGCUCCACCGUACCUUCUAAGGGCUCGCAUGCAGAGAAUACCUGUGAUCCAGUGCCAGCUUUCCUCACCGCUUUGCAUAGCCAGCUUACAUUAACUUGAAAGAGAGUUCCAGGUGCAUUCAAGUUCUGCUGAAGAAAUGGAAAUUUGGAAGCUCUAUUAUUAGCUUAGGCCAUUUUCAAAUCACGGAAAUAGUGCUACGAUAGAUCAGUGAUUCUCACAAUUGAGCCUACAUCAGAACCCCCUGGAGAACCUGUGAAAACACAGAUUGCUGGGCCAGCCCCCAGAGUAUCCAACUAGCUCCCCUGCUAAACCAUGAGCUCCUACGAGAAUGGCUAUCUGCUUAGCAAGCUCUGUCCCUGGUGUGUGGCAACCACUAUGUCCACGUGCAAAAUGAAUGAAAACGUGUCCAGUGCACUGUUCCCCUGACACUCCUCAUUCACAUCUUUGCUGUUGCAUGGGACCAUGUCGUUCUUCCCAAGGCCUAUCGAAUACAGAACCUUUAGGAGUGGGACCCAGGAGCUCUGUUAACAAGGCCUCCAGGUGAUUUGGAACACAGG